GGGUCUAAAGAAAACAGAAUGCAAGCCAGAAAACGGCGUCGGGAAGAGCAGUAACCACAUGUGAGAGGAGGCCGUUUGGAUCACAGUGCAAAUAUUGCAGGGAGACCACUAUUUGAAGGGGGAGAUGACAUGAAGACCAACAGUGGGACAGAGAAGAUUAAGAAAAAAAAACUCCUCCCUAUCUAAGAAAUUGAAGAAGCAGCUUUACUGUAUGACAUCAUAAGGGCAGCCAAAUGGUCCAGAACACCGGCGUUUCCAGGAAGAUGGUCCCUGCCUGAUGUUAUAGAGAUGGAAGACGGGAACUCUGAAAGAACUCCAAACCUGUGACUUCAUGAGUGAAGGGAAGAGAAUCAUGGAGCUGAGGGAUCCUUUCAUGUUCUCUUUUCAGUUGAAAAGUGACUGAAACAUUUUUAGUGCAGAAAUAAUGUAUGUGAGGAACUUAAGUGUAUGUGUGUUUUGAGGAGCAAUAAACAGUUUUAGCUGUUUGUUUCUUGAAAAAAAUGUAUUUUGUCUUUGUGCUGCAUUGCCACAGUCAAUUUAAUCUCUGAGAGCCUUUCAAAUGUGCCUGUGGGACCAUGGUUAGAUGUCUGGCAUAAGGUAAGUGGUUAGACAUGCCACUUUUAACUGACCUGAGACAGUGUUAAGUGUGAUCGGAGCUGAGCAGUUUGAAGGCCACAUAAAUGAUUAUGUACACAAUUUCUCGGUGGAACCUGGGAGUAAUAUAAGAUAUACUUCAUCUUGUGAUAUUAUUUUACUUAUACAAGUAAAGCAUUGAUCAAUAAAUGACAGGGGCAUUUGAUCAGUUUAACUUUAU